rnacentral:lncRNA from 1 species
UUAUUUCAAAAUCUUUUUGUUUCUUUAUUAAUUUAUCUAAUUAUUCGCCUCUCUCUCUCUCGUUUUUUUUGUGUGGACCUUUUUAAUUAAAAAAAGAAGAUGAAGGGAGGUGCCAGGGUUUCUCUUUCUGCAUGGCCAGGCCACUCUCGCUCUUCACACAUCUCUUUUUGGGCACCAGUGUGUGUAAACGUAUGCAAUUUGUUUUUUUUUUUUCUUUCUUUAAGAAAAGCUUACAUGCUAAGAAAACUAUCUUUCCUUGUCGUUACUCUCAUAAAAGAAUUAUAUCUUUCGUUGCUAAUGAUAAUACAAUAUAUUUAGGAAGUGGGAUCGGAUCGGACUAGGAGCGAAUUAUCUACCAACUUAGACUUCAAUCGUCUCUUUUGCUUACCGAUAUUGAC